CUGAAAUGUCAAUAAAUAUUACAACACAGUAGAAUUGGUUAUACUGUUAUUUUAUUACUGUAUAGAGGUAAAUAUUGUGGAGCUGGUAGGAUUUGUUUGAAUAAUUUUAAUAAUAA